GAGUUUUCUAGUCUCCUCUUUCUGCCAGAGGAAUAAGGGUAGUAAGUCAAUGAACCAGAUUAUUUUGUAUUCCUCUGGAGAAAAAUCAUUAUUCACCUGGACUCUGUCAGAAGAAGCAGACCUCGGCUUGGCUAGAAUAUCACAAGCCAACAGCUUUUCUAAAAUAUUGCAUAUGUGACAUAACUGUAGAUAUCCUGGUUCUGAAUAAGAAAAAGGAAGGGGUAAACUGGGAAAGGGGACUAACACCUGAUUAACUCCCGCUAGAAGGCGAGCUCACUGAGGGCAGGUGGUUCGCCACUGAAUGCCCAGCACCUGCAGCCACGCCCCACCAUACCUGUGGGCCCGCCAACAAACGAGCAGCUGCUCUGCGCCGGGUCCUCUGCCACAUCAUCUCCUAACCCUUUCGCCAGUUAACCCACUUCAGGGAUGAGAAGACUAGAAGGGACCCAACUGUCGGCAGAGGGAGGCCCCUGUGGGUCAUGGUGGCCAGGAGUGUGGCCCCGUGGGGACUCCCAGCCAGUGUGCCACGUGAGAGGAGGAGCGUGGCUGAUGUUUCCUGCGUAUCACACCUCUGUCUAAAACCUAAUUGUCUAAACGGUUUGUCAGAAAAUCUUCGAUAAGAUGUCAUUUAUUUGGGGGCGGGGAGAAACCACCACUCUUAAAUGAGGUAGGAUAACCUCUCCUCUUCCCCACUGCCCCCUCCCCCAAGCCCCCCACCAACCCAUCUCACCAGUUACUCUGGUGCACAUGAGAAGCUCUCAAUUUAAUUGUGAGCAAGUGAUGAAUGGAUAUUCUGAAAUGUCAACUUAAAUUUUAAAAUGCAUUCAAAAUUAUGCAGGAAGCGCAAGAGCCUGGAAACUCCAGCCUCAGAAGCUUUGGUGAUUAGCUACAUGAUUAACCCAAGAGGGGAUCAAAACCACGGGUUGGAGAAGUAGGUAGAUGCUGCUGUCUUGGUUUUCCACAGUCUGGUUUAUAGGGUGUGGGGCUGGCAGUCAUCAUCAUCAUCGCCAUUAUCAGUUUUUAUUUUAUGGGGCCUCAUUGAAAGCACUGUGCUAGGUGCAACCAAGGACUUCACUUUCCAGUAGAUAUGGUCACUGUCUUUAAGGAGUGUCCCAUCUCCAUUUCCGGGGCAGAGGUAAGAUGGAAGUUUUUGAUGUGGUGAUAAGCCUGGAAAAUAGAUGUAGCCCUGAGAGUCCCAGGGAGGAGGAAGCCGCAGAGCGUUGACUUCCAACAUCGUUCCGCAGACAACCCGCGAGGCUCCAGCAGCUUGGCUGGCACAGCCUCAGGAAGAGGGGAGUGCUGCAGGGAAGUCAAAGACGAAUGAGGUCUGAGAAGUGACUGCUGGAUCCAGUGGCAGAAAAUGUCACUGAUGGACUUCCUCUAGCGAGACCUGGACGGGAACUGGAUGGCAAAAGGUCAACAGAUCAGAGGGGACCUGGAAUUGGAGAGAGGGGUUGGUCACAAAAGGAAUCCAAGAAGGAAGCGGUAGCUGAGGGAAGGAGCAGGGCCGAGGGAAGACGUUUUCAGUCGGCAAACUUUGAUAACGGCCGAAGUUAGUCGGUGGUUACAUGCGAGCUCAUUAUGUAAUUCUUUCUACAUGGCAGAUAUUUUUUAACACCCUGAAUAGAAAUUUAGGAAAAGAAAGAUGAGAGGUGAGCGUGUGAGAAAGGGGUAGGGAAAUUGGGUAAGGGGAGGAUACUGACUGCCUGUGGGGACUCCCAGUCAUUGGUGGAACGGUCUCAGAGGAGGCGCGUGGAAAUGGAAACAAGAACACAGGUGAGGGGGUUAACCUGCUGACGGGAAGGAAAAUGAAAGAGGGUGAAAAUCAGGAUAAACGUUGGGUUGAAGAGGAAGUGUAGCAUAAAAAUAUUACAAGGCUAAAAGGAAGACGGAUGAGGGUUCUUGGGCCUCCAUUUCCAGGAAGUGGGAGGAGAGGCAAAGGGAUGAAAAGGAGUGGGAGGACAGGGAGCCAGGCUCGAGGGAUGUGGAGAGGGAUGAAGAACGGUCCUGGGAGCGGUAGGGAAGGGGAGGGCGAGGGGAAGGCAGCCGCUGAGGAGAAGCCCUUCCUGUGGACAGGGGCAGGAAGUUUCAAGGGGCUCACACUUUGAGAACUGGUACUGCCUUAAGGCAUGCAGAAAACAGACAGCCAGGGUGAUGAGAGUCUCUCCCAAACCCGGAACACUCAGGAAUCCCCAAGUCGGCAGUGGCUGUCUCAAGAGCGGAAGUUCGCUGAAGCAAAUAGCAACUGUCUGAAACUCCCCACGAAGGGCAGAUCCAGUGGGAAGUCAGAGGGAGGGCAUCUAUUUGGCCCAAAAUAAAUAUACUAAUAAAUGCGUAUGACCUCCCUGUGUGACCCUAGGGCCAUGUGUGUGUCCACCCACGAGUUUCGCUCUCUUUGCUCAGUCCUUUUGCAACUCGGAAUCCGUCCUCACAGUCAGCGCGAGCGUCUCUGGGCAGAGGGAGGAUGUGAGCCCCCAUCUCCCAGCACUGCUGCUUCCUUUCAUCAGGACGGGCGGGGUGUGGGCUGGGGUCCAAACGCUGACUUGACACUUUCUAGCCGCCUGCUCUGGGGCAAGCUCCGCCCCUCUCUGAGCCUCAGCCUCUUGCCGCGUAGGAAAGAGGGAGUCACUGUACCCUCCUCAGAGGGACAUUGUCCAGAUAAAAUGAGUUAGUAACCAAAAGCAUUAAAGCCACACCUAGCACGUAACAAGCUAUAGUAAACAUUAGCUACUUAAUAUAAUUCUGUUAAAAUGUUAUUCUUGACAACGAACAAAGUUUCAAAGGAGCAUUACCCUCUCAGAGGAGCCUUCUCUGCCCGCUCUGGAAUCCCCCUGUUAGCAUAUACAGCUUCAUGGCUUCCUCUAUUCCGUGGCACAGACUAAUAACAAGGGGCAACAUAGUGAAGGGGUUAAAAUCACGGGUCCUUGGCAGCUGGCCCAGUGGCCAAAGUUAGUUGUGCACUCCGCUUCUGCAGCCCAGGGUUUGUGGUUGUUGAUCCCACACACAAGCCUACACACUGCUCAUCAAGCCAUUCUAUGGUGGCAUCCCAUUUACAAAAUAGAGGAAGAUUGCCACAGGUGGUAGCUCAGUGACAAUCUUCCUCACCAAAAAAAAAGCACUGAUCUUCUUUUUUUAGAACCAGGCUGCGUGGGAUCAAAUCUGAGUUCUUUCUACCAGUUGUGAGAUCUUGGGCAAGAUACUAAACCCCUCUGUGCCUCAGUUUCCUCAUCAGGAAAAUGCAGAUUAAUAGAACUUAAUUUAUACAGUUGUUAUGAGAAUUAAAAAAUAUUGCUUGGCAUUUAAUAAACAGUAGGUGUUUCCUAUUUUUGGUAUUAUUAAUAUCUAUCUUCCUUUUCUCAUAAGCUCUGUCCAUUUCUCAUGUGUCCAGUGCCUAGCCCAGUGCCUGGACUAUAAAGGCUCAAUAAAUAUGCUAAAAGAAUAAAUGCAUGGAAGCUAAAAUCGACCACAUAGAGGUUAAUUGACAUGAUAAAUGCUUCAAGCCAGUUGCUUUCAAUAAUAUUUUCCAGAUUUAGCUUGUUCUCCUUUUGUUUUUGUUAUUGUUUUCUAAUAUGUUUGUGAAUCUUUUCAAAGGAAAAAUGACUGGGGAAAAAUAAUUUUAAAAAAUAAUCGGGGAAACACUUGUGCAAAGGCAUAGACCAAAAGAACAAUAGAUAAUUUCAUAAAGUCAGAUUUAUAAAUGUGAAAAACAAAGGCAGUGUUAAAAUUUCUCUGCCUUUUAAAACCAUAACAUGAAGUUCUAAACCUAGUCUCUUUGGAACUCGUGAAUGUAUUUAAUUUUAAAAAGAACCUCACCAGUGAUGUU
rnacentral:lncRNA from 1 species